CUCAAACUUCUUAUAAGAAAUCGCUCCAUGUAAUACUUCUCUCAAUGUAAUACACGCAUUUCUUAUAUCACUGACUCCCUUCCAUACAGACAGCAAUACGCAAUGACUUUAUAAAAUUCUAAUUCUGAAUUCUAAACUCGUGAUUAUUCCUACCAGUCAGUGUUGAGGCUGCAUCGGGCUUUCGCUCUACACAACAAAGGGCAAACCGCCUUUGCGUCAACACGGACUUCAGGGUGAAACUCGUCCUUGAGCGUCCUCCGGUUUGCUUGUUGUCCAGAAAAGCUGAAAAGACUCGCGCAGCCCAGCCAGGGGACGCCUAAUUGUCGUGGAAAUUAGACAACACUCGCAGACUCGUCCUCUGAAGGUAAAAAGACCUUUGAGCUUGAAUCCUAGGCACUGGGGUCACCCCCCUUCCUCUCUCCAGCUAUGAGUAUCCCACACUCCCCAUCACCAAGAACAGGCAAGAGGUGGAGCCUCCAGUGUUUCAGGACCCCAUCCUGCUGGACCUGCUGGUGCAGAUGCUGAAGGAGACCCAGGAGAGCGAGGACAUGAACGUGGACAUGCUGAAGUACACUCAGAAAGAUCUGGACACUGUGCUGGAAAUGACCCGAAAACAGGCGGAGGAGAGAGAGGUGGCUCUGAAGGUGCUGCAUGCUGAGAGAAAGGCGACUCUGGACACUCUGCAAGCUGAGAACCAUAGUCUCAGGCUGCAACUUCACAGUCUGCGCACUGAGGGACAGGCAACUCUGCACGCUCUGCGCGCUGAGAUCAAUAGGCUCAGGCGGGAUCUUCAGCACAUAAUGUAGUGUACACUAGCUGUAAACACCUGUUUAUCUGUGUUUAUUUACAGUCACAGUGUUUAACCUCAUGCUUCCUACUGUUGGAAAUAAAAUAUACAUGAAAUAAAA
ensembl:lncRNA